rnacentral:misc_RNA from 1 species
GAAAUGCGAUAAGUAAUGUGAAUUGCAGAAUUCCGUGAAUCAUCGAAUCUUUGAACGCACAUUGCGCCCUCUGGCAUUCCGGGGGGGGUGCCUGUCCGAGCGUCAUUACGCACCCUCAAGCCCGGCUUGUGUGAUGGGCCCCGGCGUCUCGUUCGCGAGACGGGCCCGAAAGGCAGCGGCGGCGUCGACCCGAUGAGCCCGAGCGUAUGGGGACUUCUGUCACACGUUCGCGGUGCGGACCGGCGCCUGCUUGACUUUUCUGAUUAUCCAGGUUGACCUCGGAUCAGGUAGGGAUACCCGCUGAACUUAAGC